CGGAUAUAUGCUUAUCUCUUAUUGUCAUAAACAAUGAAUAUAACCCAAAAACAGUCAAAAAAGAUCAACAGCACCUUGUCCUUUUUGUUUCACCCAUGUCUCCUCAAUAAUGAGUGUUGAUGAAGCAAAAGCAAAAGGAACCCAAAAGAUAAAACCUAGUGGGGGAGGCAUGAACACCGGAACAUGAUUGUACGUGCAGCUAUUCUGUGUCCAUCCACCUUAACCCAAAACCUGAUAAGCCACCAAAACCCCACCCACCUCUCAAAGAACUCACCCCACUAUCUCAAUGGUAAAACAGCCAUCAUCAUGUCUGCCGAUCUCCCACAGUAGAGCUGGCUAGUUGGUCUACACAUGCAGAAUACAACUUCCCUCUACUCAUCAGUGUUAAUUUCUUCAAUUCUUCAAUCAUGUAUUUGACGUUUUUUGGAGGCUCUUAGACUCUUUAGAUCUUCUUUUUGAGCUGGUCAUGGUAUCAAUAUUAUACAGGAAAGGUAGAAACAGAAGCUGGAAGAACCUCGCUGUUGGUACUCCUGGCGGCGUCGACGGCGCAAAACAGGUGCACUGCAUUAGUGUGCUCCUGUUAUGCUCCCCCAUGGAGCUCUUCUAACAGUACCAAAGCUGAAGAGAGAAGAAGGGUAGUUGGAACCAGCCACAGGAAGAGAUCAGCAACAGCAGUGCCCACAGAAGAGGGAAAUGGGGUCGUGGUGGAAGAAAUUGGUAAUCAUAUUGAAAUAUUGGAGGCUGAUGAAGGCAGGAGCAAUAGAAGUACUGGUGGGUCUGAUGGGGCUCACAUGGAACCCCCUCCUCUCAAGAGUAAUCUCAAGAAGACUACAUUGGUAGUGGAGGAGAAUCAAGCAAGUACAGGCAGGAGGAAAGUUAGCUGGCCAGAUGCUCAUGGUGAGGACAUAGCUCAUGUUCAAGAGUUUGAACCAAGUGUGAUCGAGGAUGGGGAACUUGAGGGCGUGAGGAAUUCUUGCGUUUGUGCAAUUCAAUGAAUUGAAGGAAGAUAUUUGAUGGAGAAUUGCAGGUGGAUCUUCUUUUGAAUGUCAUCUUCCAUAGCUAUUCGUACUUUAAAAUGGAACUAAUGAAUUAAAGGUGGUGGAGAUGAAUUUCUGCAGGGGAGCUAAUGAAUUUGUUUUCAUUAACUUUAAAAUGUGAGGAAAAUGAGAAAAUAUUAUAGGUAUCAUCUCAAUAUGUUAUAUAUAUUAUAGAUUUCUUUUCUCCCUAAAACUUUGAGAGUUGUCUUUUUCAUUUCUAAAACUUUAGUGAUGUGUAAAGCUAAUUCUUUGUUCAUUAAUAUCGUAUGUGUUUUUUU